rnacentral:rRNA from 1 species
UACGGAGGAUCCGAGCGUUGUCCGGAUUUAUUGGGUUUAAAGGGUGCGUAGGCGGAAAUGUAAGUCAGUGGUGAAAUCCUGCAGCUUAACUGUAGAAUAGCCGUUGAAACUGUGUUUCUUGAGUACAUUUGAGGUAGGCGGAAUGUGGUGUGUAGCGGUGAAAUGCAUAGAUAUACCACAGAACACCGAUUGCGAAGGCAGCUUACUGGGUCAUUACUGACGCUGAUGCACGAAAGCGUGGGGAUCAAACAGGAUUAGA